GGUUUUCAUUCCUUCCCUUGGUGGUGUGGGACAGCGAACAGAGUAGUAUGGAUCCCGACGGCGUGGUCGCGGCGGAGGCGCUUAUGGCGUCGGGUCGGAGUUCGGAGAAGCUGAGCCUUCCAUCACUCCAAUCCAAAAUGAAGUGCGAUCCCGAAGGCUACGAAUCGGAGCUACUGCUUCUCUACAACCAAUUCAAUUCCUCGCUCGAACUCUUUCAGAAACAAGCCGCCAUGAACUUCACCUCCAUCUCCGGCAUCGGCAGCGACCCCACCGUCGCCAAGGACCUCGGCGACAGGGCCAUGUUCCUCGCCCACGUCACUCCUUUCUACCCCAAACACCUCGCCGAUUUCCCCAAAAAACUCGCCGAUUUGCUCCGCUGCGCCGCCCGCACGCUGCCUUCCGGCCUUCGCUGCCACCUCGCUCACGCGCUCAUUCUCUUAUCCAAUCGAAAGAUUGUUGACAUUGGAGAAACGCUGUCGUUGUUCAUGGAGCUUCAAACCCUAGGUGACAGAGUGCUCAAGAAGUUGGCGUUUGAUCAUGUUGUUCAUAGUAUAAGGCGUAUGAACCAAAAGCAUAAGAACGAAGCUAAGAACAGAGCGCUUCAGAAUGUCUUGUUUGACUUGCUUCAGAAAGAGGCUGAAGAGCCGGCCAAGAGGGCACUCGUGACUCUGUGUGAGCUUCACAGGAGAAAAGUGUGGUUUGAUGAGAGAACAGCAAAUGCAAUCUGUACUGCUUCCUUCCAUCCAACAUCUAGGAUUAUGAUAGCAACUUUAUCAUUUCUGCUUGAUUAUGAGAAGAUUCAAGAUGAUGACGACAGUGAUAAUUCAGACAGUGAUGAUGAAAAGACGGAAUCACCUCAAGUUGUCCUUAGCAGGGAGACAGUUUAUAAGGCAAGCCACCAAGGUACAGCAGCAAGCAAAAAGAAAAAGAAAGCAAAACUACAACGUGCAAUACGCAGCAUGAAAAGGCAUCAGCGUGUAUCAUCUGAUAGGAGCAAAAACAGUUAUUAUUCACCACUUAACCAUCUGAAAGAUGCUCAGGGUUUUGCUGAGAAGCUGUUCUCACGUCUUAGGAGUUGUAAUGAACGAUUUGAGGUAAAGAUGAUGAUCUUGAAAUUAAUUGCUCGAACAGUUGGACUUCACCAGUUAAUAUUGCUAGAGUUCUAUUCUUUUCUUCAGAAAUAUAUUCAGCCACAUCAACGAGACAUUACAAAUUUGCUUGCAGCAGUGGUUCAGGCUUGCCAUGAUAUGGUUCCUCCUGAUGCAGUUGAACCCUUGUUCAAACAAAUAGUAAAUCAAUUUGUACAUGACCGUUCACGUCCAGAGGCUAUUACUGUUGGAAUAAAUGCAGUCAGGGAGAUAUGCAUGCGCAUGCCAUUGUUAAUGAAUGAAGACUUGCUACAAGACCUUGCGCUAUAUAAGAAGUCACGUGAGAAGGCAGUUUCAAUAGCAGCUCGAUCUCUGAUUGGGUUAUUCAGAGAGGUUUGCCCCUCACUGCUAGUUAAGAAGGACCGUGGGCGGCCUAUUGACCCUAAGGCAAGACCAAAGGCCUAUGGAGAGCAGAAUGUUGCGACUGACGUUCCUGAUGUUGAGUUAUUGCAGAUGGCUAUUGACAAUGAUGAUGAGCAGGAGAGUGAUCAUUCUGAUGGUUCUGCAUGCAGUGUCUCUGACAAUGACCAGGAAAAUGAUUUGAUGAGUAUAAAUGAUGACGAUGACAAUGAUGAUGAGAACCAGUUAUGCAGUGAUGAUCCUGAAAGUGAUGAUGAAGCCAAAGAUAGUGAUGUUAUAUCAGACGAUGACGACGAGAGAAGUUCUGAUGACGAAGCUGAUGUUAGUGAUGCUGAUGAAGUUAAGGGGGAUGACAUUGAAGACAAUGAACAAGCUGAUGGAGAGGAUAGUGAUGUUUCAGAACAUGAAGAAGAUGGUGAUCUGCAUUCUUUAAGUGAUGAUGGACUUGUGACAAAAAGUACAAUGAAAGACUCAGCAAAAAAGAGGAAGUUUACUGAUUUUAAUGGUCAACUGAUAGCUGCUGAUACAAGUCUCCGGGCUCUGAAGAAAUUAGCUGGGAGACAAAUGGGGGAUGUCAUACCAGAAUCUAACGACGGAAUUCUUUCUAACGAAGACUUCAAGAGGAUCAAAGAACUGAAGGCAAAAAGUGAGGCAAAAAAUGCGUUGGCUCAGCAAGGGCUAGCGAAGUCAGCUGCAACUAAGGUUCCAAGCUCUGGUCAACUAAAUCUAAAGCGAGUGGAUGGUACCAUGCUUGAAGCUCACAUAAGGAAAAAGUUGAACAAGGAUGAAAGGUUGGCAUUGGUUAGAGCAGGAAGGGAGGAAAGAGGAAAAUACCAAGCUCGAACUGCUGUGAAACAGAAUAAGACGGGUGGGUUAAGCAACAGACAAAAGGAACACAAGAAGAAAAUGCCCUUGGCUGCAAAGAGAGAUAAGGUAUCAAGAACUCGGAUAGAGAAAAAGAGGAAAAAUCAGCGAUCUGGCAAACAGUUCCGUGGAAAGAAAGCGUGGAAGCAAUAAAUAUGGACUGAGAUUUUUGUUAACGAAUCCUUUUCAAGCAUUAUUUAUUUAUUAUUAUUGUUGUUCCCAAUCUCAUUUCCGUCCGCAACCGGUAGAUGAUGGUAAUGGUUGUUUCUUUGUUACAAGAAAACUCCCGACAAAUAUUAUUCAAUGUGAAAAAUGAUCAUGUUUAUUACGAUAAUAUAGCAUGUUAAUAUUAGAAUUUGUGCUGUCAAA